rnacentral:rRNA from 1 species
CCUACGGGGGGCAGCAGUGAGGAAUAUUGGUCAAUGGGCGCGAGCCUGAACCAGCCAAGUAGCGUGAAGGAUGACUGCCCUACGGGUUGUAAACUUCUUUUAUAAAGGAAUAAAGUGAGGCACGUGUGCCUUUUUGUAUGUACUUUAUGAAUAAGGAUCGGCUAACUCCGUGCCAGCAGCCGCGGUAAUACGGAGGAUCCGAGCGUUAUCCGGAUUUAUUGGGUGUAAAGGGAGCGUAGAUGGGUUGUUAAGUCAGUUGUGAAAGUUUGCGGCUAAACCGUAAAAUUUCAAUCGACACUGGCAGCCUUGAGUACAGUUGAGGUAGGCGGAAUUCGUGGUGUAGCGGUGAAAUGCUUAGAUAUCACGAAGAACUCCGAUUGCGAAGGCAGCUUACUAAACUGCCACUGACAUUGAUGCUCGAAAGUGUGGGUAUCAAACAGGAUUAGAUACCCUAGUAGUC